rfam:Nicotiana attenuata strain TT chromosome 2, whole genome shotgun sequence.
AUUCCGCUAUGUUGACACUUUCUCACUAUCUCCUUAAACCUCUCCCACGCUUCAAAAACAGUUUCAGUCUCUUUCUGGCAGAAGUUAUGGAUUUCUCUUCUAAUCUU